rnacentral:rRNA from 1 species
GACGAACGCUGGCGGCGUGGAUUAGGCAUGCAAGUCGAACGGUAUCAUCCUUUCGGGGGUGAGAGAGUGGCGAACUGGUGAGUAACACGUAGGUUAUCUACCCUCAAGACGGGGACAACCCAGGGAAACUUGGGCUAAUACCGGAUGUGAGCAACUUUUUAGUUGUUUGAAAGGUGGCGUAAGCUGUCGCUUGGGGAUGAGCCUGCGUCCUAUUAGUUAGUUGGUGAGGUAACGGCUCACCUAGGCAAUGAUAGGUAGGCGGCCUUAACGGGUGGUCGCCCACACUGGGAUUGAGAUACGGCCCAGACUCCUACGGGAGGCAGCAGUCGAGAAUAGUCUACAAUGGUCGGAAGACUGAUAGUGCGACGCCGCGUGAACGAAGAAUCCUUUCGGGGUGUAAAGUUCUUUUCUAUGUGAGCAGUUCCUUUUAUAUGAAGAGUAUAGGAGGCGGGAUUUAAGCAUAGGAAUAAGCAACGGCUAACUCCGUG